GACAAAGAGCCUCUCAAAGUUAUUAAUUCAUAUGAGGUUACUGAUGUGAAAGCAAGUCAGAGUACAGAUAACAAUCGAGAACAUAUGUUUGAGGUGGUAACACCCACUAGAACAUUCUUGAUCCAGGGAAAAACAGAAGAGGAAAUGCAUUCCUGGAUUGAUGCUAUUAAGAGUGCAUUGUUGAGAGGGAGAUCAGCUAGUGAACCGGAUACUAAAAAGAGUCAAGAGUUGAUGAGAAAAAGUGUAAAUUAUCAGUAUGCAGAGACCACAACCCUUUAGCAACAGAGAACAGUGAAGGAGGUCAUUGGUGAUCGAAGAGACCUGUUCAAGAUAACAAUUUGAAAUCAGUGACGAAUAUUGCCUGAACUUUAACUACUUGAAAUUGUCAAAAUUGCAAAAUAUAUCUAUUGCUUUCUCCUCAAUGGCAAUUGACUGGAAAUGCAAAUGAGUUCCAAGGAAGCUUAACCUGAGGAAAUCACCAAAACUUACAGUAUAUUCUUAUUUUUAAUGUUCUUUGCAAUUCUUGCAGUAAGUAAUGCCUGGGGAAAGGCAUUUGAAGCUAAUUUGUGUUUAGGAAGAAGUUCUUUGACUAACCAGCUAAGAAUGCAAUAAUUGUGCUAAAAUUGUGAAAAUUAUUUAAAGUACAAGAACUUGUAAGAAUUACACAUUUUUUUCAAUUUUGCAGCUUUUUCAGUCCUGAACAUGAGUGAGGCGGGC